rnacentral:rRNA from 1 species
AGCGAACGCUGGCGGCAGGCCUAAAACAUGCAAGUCGAACGCCGUAGCAAUACGGAGUGGCAGACGGGUGAGUAACACGUGGGAACGUACCGUUUGGUUCGGAACAACACAGGGAAACUUGUGCUAAUACCGGAUAAGCCCUUACGGGGAAAGAUUUAUCGCCGAAGGAUCGGCCCGCGUCUGAUUAGCUAGUUGGUGAGGUAACGGCUCACCAAGGCUACGAUCAGUAGCUGGUCUGAGAGGAUGAUCAGCCACACUGGGACUGAGACACGGCCCAGACUCCUACGGGAGGCAGCAGUUAGGAAUCUUGGACAAUGGGCGCAAGCCUGAUCCAGCCAUGCCGCGUGAGUGAUGAAGGCCUUAGGGUUGUAAAGCUCUUUCAGCGGGGAAGAUAAUGACGGUACCCGCAGAAGAAGCCCCGGCUAACUUCGUGCCAGCAGCCGCGGUAAUACGAAGGGGGCUAGCGUUGCUCGGAAUCACUGGGCGUAAAGCGCACGUAGGCGGCUUUCUAAGUCAGGGGUGAAAUCCUGGCGCUCAACUCCAGAACUGCCCUUGAUACUGGAGAGCUUGAGUCUGGGAGAGGUGAGUGGAACUCCGAGUGUAGAGGUGAAAUUCGUAGAUAUUCGGAAGAACACCAGUGGCGAAGGCGGCUCACUGGCCCGGUACUGACGCUGAGGUGCGAAAGCGUGGGGAGC